UCUCAGUAUUUAAUUUUUAUUUACCUCCUGAGCCUGAGAGUUAUGGGGACCGAGAACAACAACACAGUGGCAACACUGUAAGUCCUUAUAAUUUUUAAUAAUUUUGCUAUAUAUUUCCCUAAAGUUUUCCAUUGUUGCUAACUGUUUCAUUAGUGCUGUGUUAAAAUAGGAUUUCCUGACAAAAUUAGCGUCUAAACGCUAAUAUUGUGAUUAAAAGUAGUGUCAGUUGGGUUGAAAAAUUAAAUUUUUAUUUCCUUUUACGAAAUAUCUCGCUAUUAAACUUGGCGUUUUGUGGAUUAUACAUAUAAAGUCAGUACUACUUAAGCAAUAUGCUGACUCGCAGAGUCGUUCUCGCACAGACCUUGCCUUACAAGAAGAGUCUAAACUUAGGCUAGCGCUUAGGGAAUUGAAAGCUUCCAGGGAGUUAUGUGCUCAGUUAAUAUAUUAGAGUUAGAGAAGACAAUGAAAGAGAAUUGUUGCAAGAUAACGCCCUUCAGGAUGACUGUGACUUGCUGAAAGGAG